UGCCUACGGGGGGCAGCAGUAGGGAAUCUUCCACAAUGGACGAAAGUCUGAUGGAGCAACGCCGCGUGAGUGAAGAAGGGUUUCGGCUCGUAAAGCUCUUUUGGUAGUGAAGAAAGAUAGUGGUAGUAACUGGCCUUUAUUUGACGGUAAUUACUUAGAAAGUCACGGCUAACUACGUGCCAGCAGCCGCGGUAAUACGUAGGUGGCAAGCGUUGUCCGGAUUUAUUGGGCGUAAAGCGAUUGCAGGCGGUUCA
rnacentral:rRNA from 1 species